AGCCAGUCUCCUUCAAAAUGCAGCCUGACUAUGAUUCAUGGCCAAAAGCUAUAAUAACCCUGCCAUGUCCUGGAAGCGUUAAGAUUCAUUGCGUUGAACUUGACACAUAUACUACAGCACCUUAAAAACGAAUCAUCUGCUAGUUCAGUAUUCUUACAAUCACUCCCUCCCGGGGCAUGUAAUUAAUUUACUGCGCUUAAAAAAAAAAAAAA
rnacentral:lncRNA from 1 species